rnacentral:rRNA from 1 species
AUCAACGCUGGCCGGCGUGCCUAACACAUGCAAGUCGAACGAGAAAGUGGAGCAAUCCAUGAGUAAAGUGGCGACCGGGUGAGUAACACGUGACUAACCUACCUUCGAGUGGGGGAUAACCUCCGGGGAAAACCGGGGCUAAUACCGCAUAAAAUCUUUGGGAUGAGAAGCCGAAGAUCAAAGGAGCAAUUCGCUUGAAGAGGGGGGUUCGCGGCUGAUUAGCUAGUUGGUGGGGUAACGGCCCACCAAGGGCUUUGAUCGGUAGCCAGCCUGAGAGGGCGCACGGCCACACUGGAACUGAAAACACGGUCCAGACUCCUACGGGAGGCAGCAGUGGGGAAUUUUGCGCAAUGGGGGAAACCCUGACGCAGCCAAACGCCGCGUGGAGGAUGAAGUCCCUUGGGACGUAAACUCCUUUCGACCGGGACGAUUAUGACGGUACCGGUGGAAGAAGCCCCGGCCUAAACUUCGUGCCAGCAGCCGCGGUAAUACGAGGGGGGGGCGAGCGUUGUUCGGAAUUAUUGGGCCGUAAAGGGCGCGUAGGCGGUGCGGUAAGUCACCUGUGAAACCUCUGGGCUCAACUCAGAGCCUGCCAGGGCGAAACUGGCCGUGCUGGAGUGUGGGAGAGAGGUGCGUGGAAUUCCCGGUUGUAGCGGUGAAAUGCGUAGAUAUCGGGAGGAACACCUGUGGCGAAAGCGGCGCACUGGACCACAACUGACGCUGAGGCGCGAAAAGCCUAGGGGAGCAAAACAGGAUUAGAUACCCUGGUAGUCCUAGCCCUAAACUAUGGAUGCUUUGGUGUGUCGGGUACCCAAUCCCGACGUGCCGAAGCUAACCGCGAUAAAGCAUCCCGCCUGGGGAGUACGGUCGCAAUAGGCUGAAACUCAAAGGGAAUUGACGGGGGGCCCCGCAACAAGCGGUGGAGCAUGUGGUUCAAUUCGACGCAACGCGGAAGAACCUUACCUGGGCUCGAAGCGCAGUGGAAUCCGGUGGAAACAUCGGCGCCCGCAAGGGCCGCUGCGGAGGUGCUGGCAUGGCUGUCGUCAGCUCGUUGUUCGUGAGAUGUUUGGGUUAAGUCCCGCAACGAGCGCAAACCCUUAUCGCUAGUUGCCAUCAGGUCAAAGCUGGGCACUCUAGAGAAAACCGCCCCGGGAUAACGGGGAGGAAGGUGGGGAUGACGUCAAGUCCUCAUGGGCCCUUUAUGUCCCAGGGCUACACACGUGCUACAAUGGUCGGUACAAAACCGUCGGCAAACCCGCGAGGGGGGAGCUAAUCGGAAAAAAGCCGGCCUCAGUUCGGAUUGGAGGUCUGCAAACUCGACUCCAUGAAGCUGGAAUCGCUAGUAAUCGCAGAUCAGCACGCUGCGGUGAAUACGUUCCCGGGGCCUUGUACACACCCGCCCCGUCACAUCACGAAAAGUGGACUGUACUAGAAGCCGGUACGCUAACCCGCAAGGGGGGUAGCCGUCCAAGGUAUAGUUCAUGAUUGGGGUG